UACGGGGGGGAGCAAGCGUUGUUCGGAUUUACUGGGCGUAAAGGGCGCGUAGGCGGUCGUGACAAGUCACUUGUGAAAUCUCCGGGCUUAACUCGGAACGGUCAAGUGAUACUGUCGGACUAGAGUACAGAAGGGGCAACUGGAAUUCUUGGUGUAGCGGUGAAAUGCGUAGAUAUCAAGAGGAACACCUGAGGUGAAGGCGGGUUGCUGGGCUGAUAACUGACGCUGAGGCGACGGAAAGCUAGGGUAGCAAACGGG
rnacentral:rRNA from 1 species